GGCAAGGGUUGCUAGUAUACAAAACAUCUAUUCAGCAUCCUAGCAAUUGUGCAAAUCAAUGAAUUUUUUUGUUACUUACAAGUCAAACAGCAAAGUCUAUAUUUAAUUAUUUUAUGAUGUGUAUAUGUGGUAGUAGUUGUAUGUUCUGUAGAAAUUGAGGUUGUGAUCAGUAAUGGCUGAAAUAGAGGUCUAGAAUUACAAGGUAAGUAAAACAGCUAUUCUGGAAACCAGAACUAAAAUGUCUAGUUUCCUCAUCUCAUGCUUUGUUUACUAUAUUUUACUCUAGUCUUAUUUACGUGAUUUUCUAUCAAUUGCUGUUUCUCCAGCGUAUUUUACUUGAGGAUUUUGGUGAAUAGCUCUUGGGACUUCAUAAUGAAUAGUUGGGUUUGAAAAUGACAAAGUCUAGUUGUCAUUCAUUCAUUUACUAUUUAGUGAACACCUUGUAGAUGCUGAAGAGU
rnacentral:lncRNA from 1 species